UUGCAUGUGCUCUGUGUUUUUCAUUUUUGAUAGAAAUGAUUUAGACUUGAUUUUAAAAAUUACUUCCUGAAUGUGAAGAGGCAUUGACUGGGAAAUGAAAUUAAAGAACAAAUUACCAUGACUCAUUCAAUAACACUGCUUAUUAGCUUUGAAUUAUGCCCUAUUAUAACAAUUCUGAUUUUGUGGCAAGCAAUACUGGUGUGAGUUAUUUCUGUGGUUUGAUACCAAGCACCUGCCUGGUUAAAAAAUAAAGCACCAGGCAAUUUUUCA
rnacentral:lncRNA from 1 species